UGUAAGCUCAACGCAUGUUCGCAACACAUUGGUGCCAGCGAUGAAGUAAAAAAAUUGUAUUUUAAAACUCGUAUGUACCAGUUAAUCAAGAACCUCAACAAGGCGCAAAAAACGCAGAAGAAGCCGGUUCCGCUAAAUCAAGCAUGCCCAAAUCGCAGAUCAGCUCCUCGCCCCGCAACCUCCACAAUUCGUCCCGGAACUCGUCCCGGAAGCUCCACAGCAUAACGCAAGUACUCCUUGCAUGCCACCAAAUACCACUGCAUAAUCAUUCCGCACCUGCUAUACCACUGACACAAAGCAGACCACUUGGCAAAUUAGAACGCACCGUUGAUUCAGAGUCGCGAUAUGCACCACGCAAAUAUACUUUAUAAUAAUAGAUUUGCGCUUACACACACGUUAAUGUUUAGCCAAUCCUCCGAUUUGUGUCGUGCGCCUUGAUAUUGUCACACAAAAUGGAGGGACCUACACUUUUACGCCGACUAGGCGAUUGUAUUUUUAUGAAAAUGCUGCUCUUCAUUGGAGGAAUACAUUUGGAGGUUUCCCACUGCUUACCGAAGGGCGACCGGUUUAGAAAAAAAAAACCUUUUUUGUUUAUUUUUUGACCUUGGGUUGAACCAGGUUUGAACCCAGGCUCUGCGGAAUGGUAGCACGCACGGCUGGUCACUACACUACAACUGCUACAUAAUGCAAUAACACAAUAGUUACUAGUCUAAGAACACAUAAUAUAAUAGCUAACGUAUGUUAAUUGGAUUGCAUAAAAUUGCAAUGGCUUUAUUUUAAUUUUAAGGUGCUGCAGUUUUUAUCAGUAUCGGACAUGAAUUACAUAAUCCGCAUAUCUGAGUAAUGCAUUUAGUAAAUAAGAAAUUAAAAUUUAACUUGCUGCUUAUGUUUCUUUUUUUAUAAAAAAC